CCGAGUCCCCGCCCCUCUGCUCCUCCCAGCGCGCGGGCCGCGAGCGGCAGAAAGUUCCGCGCGCAGCGGUGUGCCCACUGGGCCUAGGCUGGACGCAGAGGCCUGGCUUUGCCAGGCCGCUCCCUUUUGGUCCCCCUUUUUCCCCCUUUUUUCUGUUGUUGUAUGGGUGAAUUACAGAGCUAGAACGCUGCCCCUUGCAGUCCCAGGAUGUCCUUGGCAAAAAUCCCCUGAUGGAAACACAAGACGAAUAAUAGUUAUUGGAAGACAGUGGUUUUCACCGCGCCUCCUCCGCCAGAAGUUACAAACCCAGGAACUAUCUCCUCCGUCUUCGUUUUUGUUCGUGUGAAUGCUGCCUCAUUUCCAAUUAAAAUGCACGCACCUCUAGUUUUGAUAUUGUGCGGUUUAAACAUGAUUAUCAACUUGAGCAGAGUAAGAGACACCCAGAGGUGACAGGAUUGUGACGGCGCCAACCUCAUGCAGAGUACACAGCUUCAAGCUACUGUAUAACAUCCUGACACAGGACAUGUGCUCAGUACCAGCUGAAUAUAGGAGUAAGUGAAAGGCUCCCCAGAACUAGACUUGGGCCAGUGAUCAGGUGGAGCACUUCACGUGUGGCCAGUUCACGGUGACAGUCACAGCCAGCUAUUUCCAAGAGCACUGUUGUGCUCCCAUGGAGGGGGCAGCAGAGGGCACUUUGGUUCCAGGGCUGCCUCAAGAACACUAGUCACCUGCUUGCUGGUAACAAGAAACCAGGAGUGGUGAGAAUCAAGACUGGCUAGCCUGGAUACUGCUGGUGGCCAUGGAACUAGAGGGGGCCAUAAGCUCUCUGCUGCCCAGUACUCUCUAUGUGGCCUACAACCAGGCACCCUUUCCCAGCAAGGACCUGUACCACCUGGCCAUCACCAGGACUGAGGUGAGCACUGGCAAAGAUACGGCUUUAUGGCUGUAAUGCUUGAGAGAGAGGGAAAAAAAACCAGUGCUUAGGAGCUGUGUUUGUGAAGUCAGAGUAUGUGUGCACACGUGUGUGAAUAUGAAUUGGAAUGAGCUCUUUCCUUAUGUGUAAAAUAGGGCAGCACUGUGGCACUUCUGUCAUAAGGCAUAGCACAGCAUCUGGUACAGUGCCUAGCACACUGAACAUCCUCAAUAAGGUCUAGAUGCCAUUAUUACUUUAUACUCAGUUUGAAUUGUACGCACAUGAAUGUUGACCACUAGUAGAGAAAAUAAGUAAUAAAAAUGUAGGAUUUUAUGGCCUCCCUCUUCCUAGAAAAGAGCUAGGACCCUGUCUUAGUUACUUUUUUCAUUGCUGAGACAAAAUACCCAAUACUGAAAGUCAAAGAAGAAGGUGCUCAGCCCAUAGUUAGCUGGCUCUGAGGCAGGGUGUCAUAGCAGGGGGCAUCACAGAGGAGAAACAGUCCAUGGUGUGGCAAUCAGAAAGCAACAGGCAUCAAGCAGCAGCAGCCUGCCUGCCUUUCCUUUUUAUCCCAUCCAGGGUGGGUAUCAGCCUUUUGGGUGGUGCCACUCAGAACUACACUAAUUCUAAUCAGUGAACUAAUUUAGUACCACACACCCUUAAUCCCAGUAUC